UUUCCCAAAUUGUGGGUCGCGGGUAGAUUUUGGGUGGGCCCUGAAACUAUAGGACGAUUGUCGUACUUAGGUACGAUACGUUUUUUAAUUGAAAUGGGUAUGGUGAGGAGCUUUAGAAAAGGCCCAAGUCCAGCAGUGAACGUCAGUUGGCUGACGAUGAUGAUAUGUGGUGAGCUACGAUAA